rnacentral:rRNA from 1 species
GACGAACGCUGGCGGCGUGCUUAACACAUGCAAGUCGAACGGAAAGGCCCUGCUUUUGUGGGGUGCUCGAGUGGCGAACGGGUGAGUAACACGUGAGUAACCUGCCCUUGACUUUGGGAUAACUUCAGGAAACUGGGGCUAAUACCGGAUAGGAGCUCCUGCUGCAUGGUGGGGGUUGGAAAGUUUCGGCGGUUGGGGAUGGACUCGCGGCUUAUCAGCUUGUUGGUGGGGUAGUGGCUUACCAAGGCUUUGACGGCUAGCCGGCCUGAGAGGGUGACCGGCCACAAUGGGACUGAGAUACGGACCAGACUCCUACGGGAGGCAGCAGUGGAGAAUAUUGCACAACGGGCGGAAGCCUGAUGCAGCAACGCCGCGUGCGGGAUGACGUCCUUCGGGUUGUAAACCGCUUUCGCCUGUGACGAAGCGUGAGUGACGGUAAUGGGUAAAGAAGCACCGGCUAACUACGUG